UGGGGAAUAUUGCACAAUGGGCGAAAGCCUGAUGCAGCGACGCCGCGUGAGGGAUGACGGCCUUCGGGUUGUAAACCUCUUUCAGCAGGGACGAAGCGCAAGUGACGGUACCUGCAGAAGAAGCACCGGCUAACUACGUGCCAGCAGCCGCGGUAAUACGUAGGGUGCAAGCGUUGUCCGGAAUUACUGGGCGUAAAGAGUUCGUAGGCGGUUUGUCGCGUCGUUUGUGAAAACCAGCAGCUCAACUGCUGGCUUGCAGGCGAUACGGGCAUACUUGAGUACUGCAGGAGCGACUGGUAUUCCUGGUGUAGCGGUGAAAUGCGCAGAUAUCAGGAGGAACCCCGGUGGCGAAGGCGGGUCUCUUGGCAGUAACUGACGCUGAGGAACGAAAGCGUGGGUAGCGAACAGG
rnacentral:rRNA from 1 species